rnacentral:rRNA from 1 species
GACGAACGCUGGCGGCGUGCCUAAUACAUGCGAGUCGAGCGAAGUUUUUCUGGUGCUUGCACUAGAAAAACUUAGCGGCGAACGGGUGAGUAACACGUAAAGAACCUGCCUCAUAGACUGGGACAACUAUUGGAAACGAUAGCUAAUACCGGAUAACAGUAUUUCUCGCAUGAGAGAUAUUUAAAAGUUGGUUAUGCUAACACUAUGAGAUGGCUUUGCGGUGCAUUAGCUAGUUGGUGGGGUAAAGGCCCACCAAGGCGACGAUGCAUAGCCGACCUGAGAGGGUGAUCGGCCACACUGGGACUGAGACACGGCCCAGACUCCUACGGGAGGCAGCAGUAGGGAAUCUUCCGCAAUGGGCGAAAGCCUGACGGAGCAACGCCGCGUGAGUGAAGAAGGAUUUCGGUUCGUAAAGCUCUGUUGUUAGGGAAGAAUGGAUAUGUAGUAACUAUACAUGUAAGAGACGGUACCUAACCAGAAAGCCACGGCUAACUACGUG